GUGGGGAAUUUUGGACAAUGGGCGCAAGCCUGAUCCAGCAAUGCCGCGUGCAGGAAGAAGGCCUUCGGGUUGUAAACUGCUUUUGUACGGAACGAAAAGGCUCUGGUUAAUACCUGGGGCUCAUGACGGUACCGUAAGAAUAAGCACCGGCUAACUACGUGCCAGCAGCCGCGGUAAUACGUAGGGUGCAAGCGUUAAUCGGAAUUACUGGGCGUAAAGCGUGCGCAGGCGGUUUUGUAAGACAGACGUGAAAUCCCCGGGCUCAACCUGGGAAUGGCGUUUGGGACUGCAAAGCUGGAGUGCGGCAGAGGGGGAUGGAAUUCCGCGUGUAGCAGUGAAAUGCGUAGAUAUGCGGAGGAACACCGAUGGCGAAGGCAAUCCCCUGGGCCUGCACUGACGCUCAUGCACGAAAGCGUGGGGAGCAAACAGGAUUAGAAACCCUAGGAGUCC
rnacentral:rRNA from 1 species